rnacentral:rRNA from 1 species
AUGGUUAAGUUAGAAAGGGCGCACGGUGAAUGCCUUGGCACUAGGAGCCGAUGAAGGACGGGACUAACACCGAUAUGCUUCGGGGAGCUGUAAGUGAGCUUUGAUCCGGAGAUUUCCGAAUGGGGAAACCCACUGUUCGUAAUGGAACAGUAUCUUUAUCUGAAUACAUAGGAUAUUGAAGGCAGACCCGGGGAACUGAAACAUCUAAGUACCCGGAGGAAGAGAAAGCAAAUGCGAUUUCCUGAGUAGCGGCGAGCGAAACGGAAUUAGCCCAAACCAAGAGGCUUGCCUCUUGGGGUUGUAGGACACUCUAUACGGAGUUACAAAGGAACGAAGUAAAUGAAGCGACCUGGAAAGGUCCGUCGAAGAAGGUAACAACCCUGUAGUUGAAACUUCGUUCCCUCUUGAGUGGAUCCUGAGUACGGCGGAACACGUGAAAUUCCGUCGGAAGCUGGGAGGACCAUCUCCCAAGGCUAAAUACUACCUAGUGACCGAUAGUGAACCAGUACCGUGAGGGAAAGGUGAAAAGCACCCCGGAAGGGGAGUGAAAGAGAUCCUGAAACCGUGUGCCUACAAGUAGUCAGAGCCCGUUAACGGGUGAUGGCGUGCCUUUUGUAGAAUGAACCGGCGAGUUACGAUCCCAUGCAAGGUUAAGCUGAUAAGGCGGAGCCGUAGCGAAAGCGAGUCUGAAUAGGGCGUUUAGUAUGUGGUUGUAGACCCGAAACCAGGUGAUCUACCCAUGUCCAGGGUGAAGUUCAGGUAACACUGAAUGGAGGCCCGAACCCACGCACGUUGAAAAGUGCGGGGAUGAGGUGUGGGUAGCGGAGAAAUUCCAAUCGAACCUGGAGAUAGCUGGUUCUCUCCGAAAUAGCUUUAGGGCUAGCCUCAUGUUGUGAGAGUCUUGGAGGUAGAGCACUGAUUGGACUAGGGGCCCCCAACGGGUUACCGAAUUCAGUCAAACUCCGAAUGCCAAAGACUUAUCCAUGGGAGUCAGACUGCGAGUGAUAAGAUCCGUAGUCAAAAG